AUGGCGAACGGGACCGCUCUUCUCGCUCUGCCCGCGGGCCCCCUCGCCCGUUCUCCCCCGCUGCGAGUGGCGUGUGGGAGGUGGCAGGGGUGCGGAAUCCGGCCCGACCUCGCUCCCCCGCCCCGUGCCUUGUGGCGUGGGCGGUGUCGGGGUCUCCGUGACGCGGCGGAUGCUCCGCCUGUGCCUCUUGGCUGUGUCUCGCGGGCGGCCCUCCCCACGGUGGGGCGGGCCGUGUUGCCGCCGCGCCGCGCGCCUUCUUGGACGCGUGAGCGCGCUCCCCCGGCCGUUGGCGGUGCCCCUGGAGUGUUCCAGGUCGUCCCUCAGGCGCCUGAGGCCGAUUGGCGGUGUCGUUCCCUGUUCCCGUCGCCCUCCUCAGGUGACCGCUGCGCUGGUGUGUCUGAGAAGCGGGGGGUCGAGUCGGUAAGGGAGGCGUGCCCGUCCCCCUCGGGGGGCUCUGUCUUCCCUCCUUCGCCCCGAGCGCGUCUCUCGGCGGGCCGCGGCCCUUCCUCCACCGCCACCGCCUCUCCGGCGCCUCGGCCCUCGCCGCCGUCGGCCUUCUCCCGAGCCCUUCCCCGUCGUCGCCUGUUCUGGCUGCCCGACCGGGGCCCCGCCCCGAGCGCGACUCGCUUCCGGGGCCGCUGCGGCCUCCUCCGUGUCCGCCGCCGCUGCCCGCGCGACGGCGACGUUGCGUGCGGGCGGGGGACCGUCCCCCGCGGCGCCCCGUUCUGGCGCGCGCGUGUCUGUCGCAGCGCGGGUCGGGUCCCGGGCAGCCGUCGUGACCGGCCGCCGCGCGCCGCGCCACCCCUGGGGGCGGGGGUCGGGCCUCGGUCCGGCUCUCGGCCCGCGGGGGCGUGCGCGGGCAGUCCGGCGGCGGUGUCGACGCGACUGCCUGGUGCCCCGGCCCCGCUCACGCGCCGUCAAUCGGGGCCGCCGCGAGGGAGGUCAAGAGAAACCUUUUCCAAUGUCUUCCUCAGGAGGAGACUAGAAGUUAGAGAAAAGUAUCCUUUCGAGAGCGAGAAAAACCAAUUCUGAUUUUGCAUCAGCUUCCCUCCGAUCUUGAAACUCAUUGACUUGAUUCCAUUCUGUCGAUGGAAAUAAUCCGGAACCAAUCUAUCCGUGAAAAUCGGGGUGAGUUUAUUCUGACCUAAGAUGUAAGGACUGUGGCCCGGGGCCUUUCUUCCUGAAGGAAGAAAGGGCGCCCGGGAAGUGGGGUGUACAGAGUGCUUCUAGACCCCCAGAGAGGACGUUUCACAUAGGAUCGAAAGGUCCCUUGGACGAUAGUCGCGACACUGCUCUGUCAGCACAGCGAUCGACAGACACCGCUGGGUGGCAGGUCUGUUGUCUGGGCCUGGGUGGUCACAGGUGAGCCGGAUGGUCAAAGGUGAGCGCAAU
rnacentral:lncRNA from 1 species